UUAAAAAGCUCGUAGUUGAACCUUGGGCCUGGCUGAUCUGUCCUCCUAAUCGAGCGCACGGAUUCGGUCGGGCCUUUCCUUCUGGGGAGCCCGAUGUCCUUCACUGGGCGUCGUGGGGAACCAGGACUUUUACCUUGAAAAAAUUAGAGUGUUCAAAGCAGGCCUUUGCUCGAAUACAUUAGCAUGGAAUAAUAGAAUAGGACAGAGGUUCUAUUUUGUUGGUUUCUAGGACCGCUGUAAUGAUUAAUAGGGAUAGUCGGGGG
rnacentral:rRNA from 1 species